AUCCCUUCCUGGCCUGUUGGCUAAGAUCAAGUGAAGUAUUUGUUCUUGUCAGGGUAAUACCCAAUAUGUCCUUUAUCUCAGGAGAACAUGUUGGCUUUUGGAGCAGGAGGUGGAACAGGAGCUUUCUCCAUUCACUCUGCAUCACACUGCCACUACAGUUCUCUCAGGAAUGGUGCACCCCCU
rnacentral:snRNA from 1 species